AUAUAUAUAACCCUUAAGUUUAGUUUUAAUUUUUUUUUCUAUUUGGUUGUUGAAGUUUUAUUUGUACAUAACUAUUAAUUGCAAGGGAGAAUUUAUCACUACAAGAAAUUCUGGAUCUCUCGACGCUGUUUUACACCGUCGGGAGAUAUGGCAUCGAGAGUUAGGACCUCUCUCGACGCACAAGCUAAGGGGUCGAGAGAGGUAGGAAUUUCCAACACUUUACUUAAAGCGUCGGGAUAUAUCCAAGAACUUCUAGCGUAGAAAGAAACUCGUUGGGAGUUCUUGGAUAUAUCCUAAUGCUUUAAAUAAAGCGUUGGGAAUUUUUGGAUAUAUCCCGACGCUUUAAGUAAAGCGUCAAGAGUUAGCCUUUAAAAAAACCCCCCACCUUCACUGAUAUGCAAAGAAGAGGAAAGAGAUGUGUAGAAAUGGUGUGCACUAGGGUUGCUCCUCCACCGUUAGGGUCAGUGUCGUUGUCGCUGUUAAUGUCGAUGCAUCGUUGUCGUUGUUAGUGGCCAUUUUGUCUGCCGCUGCCACUCUCUUCGUCUUCGUCUCUGUCACAACCUCUUAGUUAGAGGUAAUUCAGAGUUUAAAAUCCUAAAUACAAACCCCUUUGAAUUUGUUCUUAAUUUCCUUUUCCAUCAGUGGGUUUUUUUUUAUUGUAACUCCCCCAAUAUUUCUUCUUGGUUUCUGUUUUUGUUAUAUUCAAAAGUUUGGAAUGAGGUUGUAAUCGUUCUUCAUGUUCUUAGCAACAAUAGUGAGUUUAGAAGCUGCAAAAGAGGAGGAAAUUGAAGAAGAUGAUGUAAUAGAUGGCUACCAAGCAAUGAAGAUGAUGACGAUGGAGAUGGUUCUGAUAAGGAAAUGGAUGGUUACCCAAUAUGUACUACCUUCCAUUAAUAAUGGAAGGUAUUUAAAAAGAAAAAAAAAAGAUUUCCCGACACACAAAACAAAGCGUCGGGAGAUCCUAGCCAUAUUCCAACAUUAUAUACAACAUCGGGUAUGUUUAGGUACAGUGUUGAAAUAUGUCUAGGAUCUUCCGAUGUUUCGUUUUGUGUGUCGGGAGAUCCUUUCUCGACUCAUUUUGCUCGACUUUCGUUCCGAUGCGCAUUUAUGCGUUGGGAGAUCCUUUCCCGACAAUUUUGCGUAUAUCUCCCGAUGCUUUUGUGCGUCGGGAGAUCUCCCUUUUCUUGUAGUGUAUUAAGAGACCGAGGGGGCACGUGCUCCCCUCACAUUCGAUUUUUGUAUUUUAAUAUUAAGUUUGAAGUGUCAAAUAAAAAAUAUAUUAAAUAAAGCAUUAUUUUAACUAAA